CAGGUGGCGGGGCAGGACAGAGGAGCCAGGCAGCCGGCUCAGACAAUGUUUCUGUGCCAGAGGCUCAGCUGAGGGGUCUCUACCAUGUGGGGCUGGGCCCUGCUCCCCAUCCUGCUGGCCAUCUCGGGCACCGUGGGCUUCUGGGUGGUUUACGCCAUGGCCGUGGCCAACGGGUCCGUGAACGUCACAGUCGUGUUCCCGUAUAUCAGCACCUGUGGCUCCGACCCUCCCCAAAGCUGCAUUUUCUCCC